rnacentral:rRNA from 1 species
CCUACGGGUGGCAGCAGUGGGGAAUAUUGCACAAUGGGGGAAACCCUGAUGCAGCGACGCCGCGUGGGUGACGAAGUAUUUCGGUAUGUAAAGCCCUAUCAGCAGGGAAGAAAAUGACAGUACCUGACUAAGAAGCCCCGGCUAACUACGUGCCAGCAGCCGCGGUAAUACGUAGGGGGCAAGCGUUAUCCGGAUUUACUGGGGGUAAAGGGAGCGUAGGUGGGGUGGCAAGACAGAAGUGGAAACUCGGGGCUUAACCCCGCGGAUUGCUUUUGAAACUGGCAGGCUGGAGUGCAGGAGGGGUAGGCGGAAUGCCUGGUGUAGCGGUGAAAUGCGUAGAUAUCAGGAGGAACACCGGUGGCGAAGGCGGCUUGCUGGACUGUAACUGACGCUGAGGCUCGAAAGCGUGGGGAGCAAACAGGAUUAGAUACCCGAGUAGUC